GCCAGGAGCCCAGCAGCCCCUGCAAUGCGGGGCUGGGCAGCAGGGACUGUGGGCAGCCCGGAGGGGCACCCCUGGGUGACAGCCCCCGGCUGUGAUUGAUGGCCGGGGAAAGGAAGCGGGCUGAUUAGUUGCUGGAUUUUUUUUUUUUUCUUUUUUUUUACCUGCUAUUUAAAAAAAAAUAAAAUUGUAUGUUCUGUGUGGGUUCCUGAUGUCGUAUGGAAGUGCCACAGGCGGCCGGCACCCGACUCAGGAGGUGACCGUGUGCCGUGUCGCCCAGAGGCGGUGAAGCUCAUGAGGAGGAGCGCGUCGGCUGCUGCUGCUGCGUGACAUGGCCCAGCGACCAUGGCGAAGGACGGGGAUGAAGCCCCCAGCCCCAGCAGCUGUCGGGGUGCUGCUGGCCCUGGCCCUGCUGGCUCUCAUCCACCUGCCCCCACCACCAGGCCACUCCCUGCUCCCGCUGCCGGCCUCGUCCCCCCCAGGGCCCCCGAGGGAGGUGGCUGCCCCCCUGUCUGGAGGACAAGCCUACAGAAGAAGGCUCCCCAUGCCUCGCACUCACCUGCAGCAGCGCCCUGGCCGGAGCAGGAGGCGGAGGGGGCUGGAGAGGGACACUCCCCCUUGGCUCUCUGCUGAUGACCUCCAGAAGAUGUGGCUGCUGUCCAGUGGGCAGGUGGUCUCCAAAACCCGUGUCCCUGCCCACGGGCAAAUCAUGCGAGUGAGGCUGCGUGCCGUGGGGGGUGCCAAGGGAGAUGCCAAGGGGGAUGUCUUGCCAGCCAGCCCGGAAGGAGACUGCCAGGAUGGGCGCUGUGGGCUCAUCAAGCGCCCUGGGGACUUGUACGAGGUGCUGGCCUUCCACCUGGACAGGGUGCUGGGGCUGAACCGCAGCCUGCCUGCCGUGGCCCGGCGCUUCACCAGCCGCCUCCUGCCCUACAGCUACACCGACGGCGCCCUGCGCCCCAUCAUCUGGUGGGCUCCUGACCUCCAGCACCUGGAGGAUGCCAACAAUGACCAGAACUCCUGUGCCCUGGGAUGGCUGCAGUACCAGGAGAUGCUGCAGCCCCACAGACCAAUGCUGGUGGCCAGGGACACUCCCUGCUCCAGCAUCCCACACAGCGAGUGGAGCCGCCUGGCCCUCUUUGACUUUCUUCUCCAGGUUCAUGACCGCCUGGACCGCUACUGCUGUGGGUUUCAGCCUGAUCCCUCUGAGCCCUGCGUGGAGGAGAUGCUCCACGAGAAGUGCCGGAAUCCAGCAGAGCUGGUCCUGGUCCACAUCCUGGUCCGGAGGAGCGCGCCAUCCCGCCUGGUGUUCAUCGACAACGCGGGCAGGCCACAGCACCCUGAGGAGAAGCUCAACUUCAGGCUCCUGCAAGGCAUAGACAGCUUCCCAGCAGCGGCAGUGGCCACGCUGCGGUCGGGCAGAUUGCAGAGCCUGCUGCUGCAGUCCCUGCGCCUGGACCGGGAGCUCUGGGAGAGCCAGGGGGGCGCCGAGGGGCUGAGACCCCUGCUCCAGACCAUUGACAGGCGGGCACAAAUCCUCCUCCGCCACAUCCAGGAGCACAACCUGACGGUGUUUGAGGACUCGCCGUGCUGAACCGACCUCCGGCUGGCUCACAGUGCCUGCCUUGCUCAUCCCAGCAGCCAUGGAUGUACCUCAUGCCCUCAGCAUGGACGUUAUGAGGCUCCGUGCUGGUGCUUAGCCCUCCACAAGGUGUUUCCCCUCACCUUGUAGGAUGACCUGGAGAAGCAGAUGGAACCACAGGGAGUAGGAAAGAUGGGGAGGAGAUGUCUCCUAAGACAACCCACAACUGUUUGAGAAAGGCAACAGUCAUCAAGUUAUGGUCUCAGCAUGGAUUUUCAAAGGAAGGGCACAUCCAUGAGGUUUUCUGGAUGCCUUUAUGCACACGCACACAAACACACAAACAGCAACUAUGAAAACUGGAGUCUUGGACAGUUGAACAGCUGACAGGGACCCUGGAAAUAGUUAAAGAAGCAGUGGAAGAAGUCACUGGCAGCCUUUCCAUGGCUUGUACUGGGCUUUUUGAUGAUGCCUUCACUAUUUCCAAAACAUCCCGGACAGAGAGGCAGGGGGAAAGCAGAGGGGAGCUUUCUAAGUGGAUUAAACAAAGACAAGACACUAGAGAUGAGCUCUGCCUUUCCCUCUGCAGAAAAGGUGACGUGUGCCUGGGAGACUGUGAGCCACUGCCUGGACCUUGGACCUUGGACUAGGCAGGACCUUGAAGGUCAGCAGCACUGGGCAGCAGCUGCCCUCACAUAGCCCAUGGUACCAUCCCCAGUGAGAGCCAUGUGCUGUGUGCCAUGUGCCAUGAUCCAUGCAUGUGCCUUGGUGGGCCUGGGCUGCUGCCAAUGCUCUCAAUGUUGAUUUGAAGAUUUAAAUCUCUCGUUCACUCUUUGCCUUCACUGUCAGGGGAUUAAAGGCAAAACUACCCCACAUCUGAAAAGCACUCCUGGCUGCUCUCCUGGGCAUGACUGCAUGUAACUCUUCCCCAGGCUUGCAGAAAUAUGUUUUAACAAAAAUGCCAAGCUAUUUUAGCAGAAGGCAGUCGAGUGCAAAAUGCUUUCUGAGCAUGCUGGCACCUCCGGCAGAGCCCAUCCUGUCCCUGUCACCCCUCAGGCUCCUUCCCAGAAGCACAUUCUGAUGAAGCACAGCAGCAUCCCAGCUAGGCAGGUCCUCAAGUGUCAGGGCUGAGAGAUAAUUCAAAAUCAAAAUGAACAGGAGGAAAAGAGAUGCAGGGAUGGGGUCCAUAACUCCCCACAGUGUGUUUCCCAGCUGAGGCAUGCAGUCAGUGUUUGCCUGGAGCAGUCAGUUCCUGGCCUGUGGGUUUAUGGUUUGCCACCAGAAGGCUUUUUAAAGGCCUCCAUUUCUCCAGCGUUACAGGCAGAGCAUUCAGGCACUCCAGUUCACUUGUGCCUUUGGAAAGUCUCAGUGAGACUGGCAUGGGUACCCAGCUGCACCAUGGCACAGCUGUCCCAUUGCAAUAGCUUUGGAGAACACAGCCACUCAUGCAGUGGGAGAGGAAAAGCUGGGUAUGAAUACCUUCCCUGCUCCAUCCUUCUCAGUACUAUGUCAGUUUGAGAAUCUGCUCUAACACCCAUGCUGAUAAGCACAGACAAUUACCUUUUCCCCCCUUUUCCCUCUUGCUGAAGAGAGGGUGAAGCGAGAUGUGGGUGACAUGAAUCAACAAGCAAGCACGAGUGCUCUCAGGAAUCAUCAGCACUCAGCAUCACAGGCAGCAUCCAAAGUGCCAUCAGCUUGUUCCUGGAGUCCUGCCCUCCAAUUAGCCAGGGAGGGCCUUUCCCCCAGCACUCUCUCCACCCCAUGAAUUAUCACCCUAUUUGCUGUGUCAUGAGAUGGAUCACGGUCAUGGAAACACUGCUAAAGCCUGAAUCAUGAGGAUUUAUUACUGGGAGAAACAGGAAACAACCAGUGUGUGGGAGAUAUCUCUACUUCAGCUGAGCAUGACCUUUUCAAGCCUGAUCACAGUUCAAGAGAGCUAUGGCCUUGAAGUUUGCCUCUUUUAUUCUGUAGGGACCACUGACUGCAGAAAACAGAUGCCAUCUGUCCACCGUGCCUUGUAAAUCAGAUUUUAAUCAUCUCAGGGAGAGGUCUGUCUCCAGCUGAGUGCUGCAAACCAGAUUUCCUGGCUGUGGGUGGAAAACAGCUUAGGCCAUGCCUGAAUUGAUCAGGUAAGUGCAGGUCUGUUUCUCACCUCCCAGCUGACCUCCCUCCCCAGCAUGAUGACUCUGCAGUGUAUCUGCAUCCAGCGUGGGCAGAGAGGCUCCCAUAAUGAAGGACACCACUGAGUCAGGACCAAGAGAGACACCUCCAAGAUCCAGUUUUGCUCCAUGAAAACUGAAGCCACAGAUUGCAGAGAUGCUGGUGUUGGAGUUGCUGUCUCCUCCAGUAUUGCCUGAGUCCCAGCAGCUACAGGCUUGCCUGGUGGAUAACACGUUUGUUCCAAGGGCUGCUGCAGUAGGUUGCAGUGGGCAGUGGGGGAGAGAGCCAGGGAGGGAAAUGGCACAAGAUUUGACUCUGUCUGGUCUUGUACAGCCCUUACACAGGUCUGUAAGGCAAACUGUGUGUUCCUACAACAAUAAAAGUGCGCUGCUGAGGAUGGUCACAAGCACA